rnacentral:lncRNA from 1 species
UUUUUUUUGGUCUGCGUGCGAUUUUGAACCCGGCUACGGUGGAUUUCAUCCGUUCCCUUUCGGUAUCUCCUUGUGUACUUUGAUUCCUGGCUCUUGUACUUUCCUCGAUCCCUUUCGGGGGAGCUCGAUUCUUCAACUUCUUUUUUUUUCAUUUUUUUUAACUUUUUUAUGUGACAUGAUUGACGGGACUGGGGAGGGCUUGCAAGAAACGAACAAAUGCAGGAGGAUCAGAGCAGGUGGCCCCAAAUUUCGCGGGAAUGUGUUUACUUUCUUCUUCCCGGCCGGCUCCUCUGUUCUUCAGUUUGGGAGGAGCCCUGUUACACAAACCCUCGUGCAUGCUGAACUUGUCCUGUAGCUUAAUCAAUUGCAUUACCACACUAGUUAAACCUUGUUGGAACAGAAACCUAUGUUAGGACUUACGGCAUGGAUGAUUGGCUGUUUUCAUAAGCUAUUGCGACCUCAUCGCUGGCCGGACACUGGAGUUCACAAUACAGAUUAAGCUUCCUUUGAUUUCUGAAAGAGGCUUGUGGAAUACAGGCACUAGGUGUUAUUCUAGUAUUGACUGUUGCUCAUGGUAUAUGCUGCAUAUUGCAAGAUUGUAUAGUAUUAUCCACACAAAUCUUAUUAAAUCACAUGACUUACACAGUAUCAAACUUGUUAAACCUUGUUGGAACAGAAGCCAAUGUAAUGAUGGGGUGAUUAGCUGUAUACGUAAGUGAUUACAACCACAUUGAUGCUCGCUAUAGUAUGGAAUACAGAUUAUUGAGUUCAUCAAGUUCGUGCUAUGCUUAGAUUUAGUACGGCAAGAGGCUUGUAUGGAAUGUAUGACUGAACAUGUACCCAGCUUCUCUUUUUGUAUCUUGUUUCCUGUGUUAGGCGUCAUUCUAGUAUAUUGCUCAUGUAUAUGCAACUACAUCUUUAGCUUUCUGUAAUAUUUAUUAGAAGCAGUUCUUAAUAUAACUUGAUGAACACACCUUCCCUUUCUUUAUUUCUCUCAAGGUUGUUGGGCUUUUCACGUCCCUUCGCAAUGGACUAUACAUCGGAUGGAGACUCAGAGCUUGAAGCUUAUGGUUCUGACACUUAUGCACUUCUGCUAUCAGGAGAUAUAAAAGUGAUGCAUGAUGGGAGUUCAUACAAGUGCCCCUUUUGUUCGGUUGGAAAUGGUGACUAUAACAUACAUGAAUUACUGCAGCAUGCCUUGAGUGUGGGGGCUGCCCAUGACCAGGAAGCAAAACAGAAGGUAGACCAUCGAGCCCUUGCCAAGCAUUUGAAGGAUGAACCAGCUAAAUCACAUAGUCCACUGCUGAGGCCAAUUAUUAUGGAUCCACAGCCUCCUCAACAUAAAAGGGAUGAGCUGUUUGUCUGGCCCUGGAUGGGUAUCAUAGUCAAUAUGCCUUCUGAAUAUGUUGGAAAAAGUGCAAACCGGCUGAAGGAGCAUUUCUCCUGUUUUCAUCCAGUUAAAGCACAUCAUGUGUACAGUAAAGGUUUUCCUACAGGUAAUGCUAUUGUUGAGUUUGGCAAGGACUUUGGUGGGUUUAGGAAUGCACGAAUAUUUGAGAAUCAGUUUGAGAAGAAUGGGUAUGGGAAAAUGGGCUGGCAGGAAAAAGAGCGCAGAGGGUCAGAGCCUUUUGGAUGGAUCGCUAGGGCAGAUGAUUACAAUGCUCCAGGGGCAAUAGGGGACUUUCUAAAGAAAAAUGGCGAUCUGAAGACGGUUGACGGCGUUGAGAAUGAAGAAAAAAAUAAAAAUGAGAAACUUGUGGCCAGUUUAUCUUCUAAGGUUAUUGAAAAGAAUAUGCAUUUAGAAGCACUUGAAUGUGAGUAUCAGGAGAGAACUGUGUCAUUGCAAAGGAUGAUGGAACAGAGGGAACAUCAGCUCCAGUCAUACAGCCAAGGUGCUUGCUAACCUUCUUGUAAUUUAUAUGUGAUAUAUUAUCAAUGUCAAGUAACUAUAUGCAUCAGCUGAUUUCUACCCUCUUGUUGAUCAUGCCGGUGUUUAAGCAUUACAAAAAGGCUGAUGUAUGUUUUGAAUUUCAUCUGUCUUAGAACUCCAAAAGAUGCGACAGUGCUCUGUCGAACAUACACAAAAGAUUGUUGACGAGAACAAGAAGCUGCGCUUUGAUCUUCAGUCUAUGACGCAUGAGCUUGAUGCAAGGUCCAAAGAACUUGAUGAGUUGGCUGCACAGACUGAUUGCGAUAGAAGGAAGCUUGAACUGGAGAAGCAAAGGGUGAGGCAUCUUGUCUUCGUAUGAUAUUUUUCAAUCAACAAGCCCAUAUAGCGACUUGUAAGUUACUGUAGUGUGUAGCUUCUUCUGUUCAUGUACUUCUUACAGCUGUCGGUUACUAUCGGAUCUUCAACUGGCAUUCCAUAAAAAAAACUAGUUUAGUAUAUUCUUUGUUGACUUAAAGAAAAACUGGCAUUGGGCGUCACCUUUUGUUCUAGAUAUCAUGGAGCAGAACUUUUGGUGUUCGGAUUGUUAUACAGAACUAGCAUGCUGUCCACACAAAUGCACGUGCAACUUCUUUAAUGUGUAUAUUUUUUCUGAAAGAGUAAUAUCCUUUCGUGGAAAAUCAAUAUACUAGAUGGAAAUAAAACAACCUUGUAAAAAUUAUUCGUGAACUUAAUUAACCAUGCACCGCUUAGAUUCUUAUGCAAGAUCGGACGGCCACCACGUGUGGAGCCCCGUUCCCUUGGUUCUACCAAACUUUUCUUGGAUGUUCUGUCCAUGGUGAGAUAUGAAAUUGUUAUACCCAACUCGGUGGUGUCAUUAGUUCCCUGAGAACUCGAUGCUCCGUGACUUGUUGAAAUUUUUGUUUCAAUAUUGUGCCAUUUUGGUUGCAAGAUUGAGCCUGUACAAAAUGAAAAUUUAAGGAAGUCAUAAACUUCAAAAAGACACUUAAUUUGUAUGAGUGGCUAAGAUGACUAUAUGGCAUGGUCAAAAUCGGUGCAGAACAUGAUUAGAUGUCAAAGUGAACAAACAAGAGAAACUAGGUGGCAAUUGUACAGGGAAGACUAUUUCUGUUUGAUUGAUAUUAUUACUGGAGGGGUGUCUCCAGGAAUUUGGGGCCCGGGGCGAACUUCAAAUUGCAGCUCCAAUUCUUUUUUAAAUAGUAUAACUAAUGGACUAUCUUGAAAAAGUCUCAUACCUACCCAAGAAAUACAUCAUGCUAAAGCAGCCAAAUAUUUGCUGGAAUACACAAUAUGAGUAGAACUGAAAAUCUGUGUUGAACGAUCAGACAAAAUAGAUAAAAUAUGACAAAAAAUAAUACGGGGAUACAAAAGGGUACCUGAUCAACAGGUUGCUUCGUCCGUGCAUCCUAUAUGUGUAGACACUCCUGUUGCGGACAUCGAUGGAAAAUAUCAUCAUCUUGUUUUUCUACAACAUGAAAUCAAAUUGAAAUAAAAAUGGAGGAAAAUUGAGUUUAAUGGUAAAUGAUUUGUUUUCACUUCAAUUUCAGUUCAACGUUUAAGUGCAUCAAUUUAUAAAUCAACACAUACAACAUCAAUUUGGAAAUCAACACAUACAACAUGUCAGUUCAAAUGCAUCUGGUAUUGUUAAUUAUAUGUCUGUCUUGGUCCAAGAAAUUACGCAGACGUUUGCUCUUGGCUUCCGAGGUGCAUCCAAUCAUGGGUGAGGGGGAGGCAGGGUAAGGCGCCCAUCAGCAGCAGUACAGGGGCUGGGCGGGUCGGCCAUACGCUGGGGAGCACUUGCGGGAACGACAUGAUGGCACCAGCAAUGGAGCAGCUAGCAGGCCGAGCUGGAUUAGAGGAUAGCAGCGGCCGGCAGCAGAUUGCAUUAGACCGUCAGCAGGAUUAGAGGCGGCGCUAGCAAGCGGGAGGACUGGGGUGGGGGUUGGGGACUAGGGGAGAGCUGCGGCCCUAGGGCUUGCGGCAGUCUUGUGCAGAGAUUGAGGGGGCGAUCGCAUCAAACUCAGGCGGCUCGCACACACGCACCUGCGCGGCAGUUUCUCCCCCGAUCGGUGGCCCCAUGAUUUUGGGGGCCCUAUGCGGUCGGCCACCUUGGCCGCCCUCAUCGACGGGCCUGAGGCAACUGCAUGAAUGGGAUGGGUGUCACUCGGAGCAGCAUUGUUAUGACUGGCAUAUUAGGGGCUUAGCCCAGUGGGUUGUGGCCCAAGUUAUCUUAUCGUUAUUAGGGGCUUAGCCCAAUUAUCUUAUCGUUAUUAGGAUCAUUUGCUUAGGAGUCAAGUAAACCUCUCUAUAUAAGGAGAGGAGAUGUAUCAAUCUAAUCAAGCAAGAAGCAAUCAGUAUUUGCUCGGCUUCCCUUAGGGAGCCGGGAGACCUAACCCUUGCCGCCUCUUGUGCCGCCGUCGCCUCUUCUCCACCACGCAAGGACGGCGCCCAGCCGCCGGCCGCCGCGCCCUCGACCUCGUCUUCCUCCAUCGUUCCCCUACAAUCUCCGCCCUAGAACCGGCAGAACCCUAGCUCCUACCAAUUUGGUAUCAGGUAGCUCGGUUCCGAUCAUGUCUGCACCACCACCCAACCCGCCGUUGCCCGUCACCAUCGCGCCGCUGCCUCUCUCCACCGCGCCGCUGCCUCUCCCCACCGCGCCGCUGGACUCCACCGCUAGCGCCUCCACCAGCCAGACGCCGCCGCCCUCCACCGCGCCGCCCGUCGCCAUCUACUCGCCGGCGGAGAUGACCGGGGUCCUCAACGACCUCGUCGCCUCUACCUGGCCGGACCCUACGGGCAGCCCCCGCCCUUGCAACCGGCCGCAGCGACCGGGCCAGCCGCCCUGCCCUGGUACGCGGCCACCACGGCGCCGAUCGGGCCUCUACACCACCAUUGGCCCGGUCAGUCGCCGUACGCGGCCACCACGGCGCCGAUCGGGCCUCUACAUCACGAUUGGCCCGGUCAGUCACCGCCCGCUGUCUCCCUCCACUGGCCGCAGUGGCCGGCUCCGGCGAUCGCCGCGCCCCCGACGCCUCCCGGGUUCGGGCAGCCGCAGCCCCAGCUGCCGGCCCCACCGCCGUUCGCUGCCGGCCCCACCGCCGUUCGCUGCCGGCCCCACCGCCGUCCGCUGCCGCGCCUCAAUGGCCACAGUGGCCGGCCCCGGCCCUUGCUGCGCCCCCCACGCCACCCGGGUCCGUGCCGCCGCAGCCGCAGCUGCCGGGCCCGUCACCGCCCAACACGGGGCCCGGGUCACCCUCGCAGGGAGGCAUGCCUAUCCAGCAAGUGUGCUUCCCGCCGUCGCCAUCCCCAAUACCGGCCUGGCUGACCGGAUCAUCGCCGCCACCCGUCUACACGUCGGCUGGAGACUCGUCGGCACCCACUCUGCAGUUCGGCGAUCCCUCCGGCUCGGCGGGGCACUCCACGGGCGGCGGCCGUACUGACCGGGCGCCCCAAUCCUCGCUGCUUCACACCUCCGAGCCAGUCGGCCACGGCGCUCCGACUCAGACAGCGCCGCGGUUUGCCAAACUGGACUUCGCCACCUAUGACGGCACGGAGGACCCCCUCAACUGGCUCAACCAGUGCGAGCAGUUCUUUCGCGGGCAACGCACCCUCGCCUCGGAGCAUACCUGGCUCGCCUCUUACCACCUCCGCGGAGCGGCCCAGACCUGGUACUACGCCCUCGAGCAGGACGAGGGCAGCAUGCCCCCUUGGGAGCGCUUCCGCGAGCUCUGCCUCCUUCGUUUUGGGCCACCGAUCCGUGGGAGCCGCCUGGCAGAGCUAGGCCGCCUUCCCUUCACCUCCACGGUUCAGGACUUCGCCGACCGUUUCCAGGCCCUGGCAUGCCACGCGUCGGGCGUGACGGCGCAGCAGCGGGCCGACCUCUUCGUCGGUGGACUUCUGGAUCACAUCCGCGUGACGUGAAGCUUCGGGGACCCCAGGAUCUCCAGAUGGCCAUGUACUACGCCUGCGUGUUCGAACGCCGCGCGGCGGCCAUCCAGCGGGCAUCACCGUCCCGGGCUGCUGGGCUGCUACCCGGCCGGAUGUUCCCGCGCAGGGUCGGCCUGUUUAGGCUUCCGCGGCACCCCUCGCUUCGACCGCGGCCCGCCCGUUCCACCGGCUCACCUCGGCCGAGCUACUCGAGCAUCGCCGCCAAGGGUUGUGCUUUAACUGCGACGAGCCCUACACGCCCGGCCACGUCUGCCCGCGACUCUUCUACCUGGAGGCUGCAGACUACAUUGAGGAGGACGCCGUCGCCGCCGACCUGGCCGCCCCAGCUGUCGCGAAGGUGUUUGACGUUGGUUGAUCACCUUGAGGAGUUCAGCAAGCGCUUCCCCACCUUACAGCUCGAGGACGAGCUGUUUGUGCAGGCGGGGAGAAGUGUUAUGACUGGCAUAUUAGGGGCUUAGCCCAGUGGGUUGUGGCCCAAGUUAUCUUAUCGUUAUUAGGGGCUUAGCCCAAUUAUCUUAUCGUUAUUAGGAUCGUUUGCUUAGGAGUCAAGUAAACCUCUCUAUAUAAGGAGAGGAGAUGUAUCAAUCUAAUCAAGCAAGAAGCAAUCAGUAUUUGCUCGGCUUUCCUUAGGGAGCCGGGAGACCUAACCCUUGCCGCCUCUUGCGCCGCCGCCGCCGCCUCUUCUCCACCACGCAAGGACGGCACCCAGCCGCCGGCCGCCGUGCCCUCGACCUCGUCUUCCUCCAUCUUUCCCCUACAAUCUCCGCCCUAGAACCGGCAGAACCCUAGCUCCUAACAAGCAUAGUGGUUGCCUGGUUGGAUCGUUGCUCAGGAGCCCAGGUUAAUUUUGCUAUGUGCCAAUGUUCGGGUCCUAUAUGGCAUGCCUCAUCUUGUUUAGUCGUUCAUUCUUUGUUAAAUUUAUAGAUUUUGCCUAUUACCAUACAUACACCAGGUGCAAUUUUCAUUUUUAUCGUCUGAGUUUAAGUAACUACAUAUACUUCAUAAUGCAAUCAUUUUAUUUUCAGUUAGUAACGAGAAUAUGUGGUGUGUUAGUCUUGUUUGUAGUGGCAUACUUGGCCUUUGUUCAAUAAGGUCAUGUCUUUUUUUAUUAGCGUCAUACUUUUAUAUUCUUUUACUUAAAUAUCCAUGUAACACUCAAAUAUGACAUGAUAUGUAACUCAAAUAAGCAGAAGCAGGUUUAGGCUUAAGUCACUAAUUGGUUUAGUUUUCAAUACAUGUAGUUGUUUUUCUUUUCUACUUAGAGGUAGCAGGGCUUGAUGGGUCAAGUCAAGUGGAGUCCCAUAUUAUGAGAUUCAAGGAUUAUGAUUUAACGAUAAUGUAGAUUAUUGAACUGAUUUUUGCUUUUGUUGUGUUAUUUUCUAGUCGUCCUCUCUUUUUCCUGGUUGACCCAUCAUGUUCUUUUAGUAUAUAAUUGAUGUAACUGAAUCUACCAUCUGAGGAUGGAAGCAUAAUAAUGUAACUAAAUCACUUUCAUUAAAAUGUCAUUUAAGUUGUGUUUUGUUCUUGUACAGAAUGCGACAAAGUCCAAUCAUCUUAUGCUGGCAGAAAUGGAGUAUCAGAAAGCUAAUGAGAAUGUUCGCAAGCUUCUCGAACAACAACAGGUUAGUCCCUGCUGUGCGAAUACAUUUUCAAGCUGUUUUGUUUUUGAUGACACAAGUUUUAAAGAUGUCUAUCCUGUGUAUAAACUGCAGAAAGAGAAAGAAACUGCUUUAAACAAUGCUAAGAAGUUGGAGGAACAGUUUCAUGUGAAGCACAAUCUUCAACUAGAAAUAAAGCACCUGACAGGAAAAUUGGAAGUGAUAAAGCUCACACCAGGCAAUGAAACUUCAGAAACAGGGAAAAGAAUAGCUGAACUGACAGAGGAGCUGCAAGAUAAGAUCGAUGAGAUGGAAUAUACAGAAAACUACAACCAAGGUCUGAUCUUGCAAGAAAAAAAGGCUGCUGUUGAGUUGCAAGAAGCUCGGAAAUUUGUGUUAGAUGUAUGCUGCUUCUAAUGCUCUACUGUGUAAUUUGAGUGAGUGCACUAGUUGGUUUUUGUAUUCAUGUUUUGUUCGAUUGCAGGCUCUACAGGACUUGGGCGGUCAGACCAGUGACAAAGCACACAUAGGCAUCAGGAUGAUGGGUGAGCUUGACUCAAAGGCAUUUUUAAAUGUGUGCAGGAAAUAUUUUCCAAACGAUGAUGCGGAAGUUGGAAGUGUUGAGAUUUGUUCAAAGUGGCAGAACGAAAUUAAAAAUCCAGAAUGGCGUCCUUUUAAUGGAAAGGAAUUGGUAAGAAAUCCUUCUCUGUUUGUUACCUUACCACAACCAUCCAUUGAAUCAAAGACGAGGCCUGAUGUUGGGCAAAGGCAGGGGCCCAGGGGCUUCGGUUUGUUCUGCCCACAUCCUGGGACGUCCAUUGAUNNNNNNNNNNNNNNNNNNNNNNNNNNNNNNNNNNNNNNNNNNNNNNNNNNNNNNNNNNNNNNNNNNNNNNNNNNNNNNNNNNNNNNNNNNNNNNNNNNNNNNNNNNNNNNNNNNNNNNNNNNNNNNNNNNNNNNNNNNNNNNNNNNNNNNNNNNNNNNNNNNNNNNNNNNNNNNNNNNNNNNNNNNNNNNNNNNNNNNNNNNNNNNNNNNNNNNNNNNNNNNNNNNNNNNNNNNNNNNNNNNNNNNNNNNNNNNNNNNNNNNNNNNNNNNNNNNNNNNNNNNNNNNNNNNNNNNNNNNNNNNNNNNNNNNNNNNNNNNNNNNNNNNNNNNNNNNNNNNNNNNNNNNNNNNNNNNNNNUCAUUACUCAAGGAGGCUUCUCAGCGAGAGCCAGGUUUACAACAAAGUCCAUCCCGGCAGUAAGCCAGACUACUGUGCGCGGAGUGCUACGGCCAUAGGCGGCCAGCUCAUGACUAAUCCUGUUCUGCAGACGGCUACAAAGAGUAAAAGAGAUCUCCCUAGCAUGACACUUUAACGCUCACCUCCUAGGAGGACUGUUCUAUCUUUUCAAUGAAAUGAAACGCAAAGGUCCUUUGCGUUUUCUCGAAAAAAAGGAGGAUCCCAAUCCGCUUAGCAAUCCUUGUAGGGAUGCAGGCAGACACGUCUGUGAUUGUCCGCAUUUAUGGUUUUUGUAUUAGCUUUGUUUUAAAAGCAGCAGUUAUUAGCUUCUUUUCGCUUUCGUGGACAGUCGCGGACAGCAUGGAUGCGCCCGCUUGCAUCCCUAAAUCCUUGUCAUUGCAUAUUUAGACUUUGUGCAAAUGACAAGUGCAACACCAUUUUUUUUUGUUGCACCUUCAAUUAUAUCACCUGGUUGGUACUUCUGAAUUUCUAAGCUUUCUCCAUCUUGCAUAUAAAUAUUUAUUAGGAUCGCUGAUGCUGCACCUGGUGCAUAUUCUUGUGUAGGAAGUGAUCAAUGAGGAUGACAUGAAGCUCAAGGAGCUGAAAGAGGUGUACGGCGAGGAAGCAUAUGCUGCGGUGGUGACAGCGCUGAUGGAGCUGAAUGGCAGCGGCAGCAGCAGCGGCAGCAGGGUUCCUUUCCCGGAGCUAUGGAACCAGAGGGAGGGGAGGAAAGCAAAAUCCAAGGAAGCAGUCCAGCAUGCCAUCAAGCUGUUCAAGGCGAGCAAGAGACGGCGUUGAGCUGCUCAACGCUACGGUUUUCUCUAGAACCGACCCUAACUAAGCAGGACACCUUUCUAUGUUUGCUCAUAUAUUAAGUAGAGGGAAAUGGUGGUGGAGCGACCUGUGCUUUUUGCAGUUAUUACGUGGCUGGUAGCAGUUGUUCGUUGUCCAUGGCUGGGCUGGCUGCUUGACUUGUCGUGUGUGUGUGUGAUGAAACCCUCCAGCGUCUGAGACUCUUAGUGUUCUAAUAUGGGAUGACACUUAACUGGUUAAGUGUUAGCUAUAUUUGGCUAUGUGAAGGAUUAUGUUGUCAACUUCUUCCUAGGGGGAGAACUUUCGAUCUAUUUAUCAUUUGUCAUGGCAGUAACAAGAACAUCACAAGUAGUCCGUAGGUAAUCUAGCGAUGACUAUAAGCAUUGGAGCGGGUUGAAGGCGUGUCGCUGUUAUCACACCUCUUUUACUGGAUCCAGGCAAACUUUGUUGUUGGAUUAGCACACUAAAAGAGAAGUUUAGAUCGGAAGGGUUCAACCUGACACCACAUGUACGGAGAUGAAUGACGAUGGGAUCCCAAUAGAUCCAUUGAAGAUCAUUACCAGCCAGAUUUUUUUACCUCAAUUGCAUUAUAAAUGAUGAGACGACAAAUUAUACAAUUGAUUGAUGAAAGUAAUUACCACAACUAGUAGCUCCUUCAAUUGCAUAUUCGUAAAGACAUAGUAGGAUCGAUUAUUGCCGAGACAGAGCGGCAUGCAGACAGAGGAGCCACACAUGAACACGUAAGGGUACUACGCUUAAUAUAGUGCGCGCACACACGACACGACGCAACCGAAACAACUUAUUCAUCGUCUCUCACCAGAGAUCGAUCUCAUCUCACCAGUUCUCUCUCGUACAUAGUGCCCAGCCACCCAAGCGCGGAGGGGACAGACACGUUGACUCAAACGCAUAAAACGCGUGUCUAUUUGGGUCGUCCGGUUGGAGUUGCUCUCUUAGAGUGACUUGGGGGCGAUGCGGCCGAGGCGGACGGCGUUGACGUAGUCGCGCGGGCU